AAGUCGUAACAAGGUUUCCGUAGGUGAACCUGCGGAAGGAUCAUUAACACGUAUCCAACGUUAAAACAACCCCGUGAACUUUCAGCUUGCUCCUGUAGCCCGUGAAAGCAGCAAUCCCUGGUAAACCUGGCAUCCCCAAGUAAUCAGUGUUGAAAGUGUCAUUGAUUGUGUAAGGAUAAUUUCGCCGCGCGUGAAAUUCGCACGGCACCAAAACCGAACAACUGUUAACAAUGGAUAUCUUGGUUCUC
rnacentral:misc_RNA from 1 species